CUGGGUUCAGGACUUUCAGAGUCACUGAGACGCAGCACAAUGAUGAAGGUUCUGAUUCUACUGCUGAAUACACUCGGCCUCCUCACUCAACAGUCGUUUGGAGAAAUCAUCAUGACUCAGACUCCAGGAUCUCACUCGGUUUCUCCAGGACAAUCUGUUACCAUCAACUGUAGAUCCAGUCAAAGCGUUAGCAGCAGCUACCUCCACUGGUACCAGCAGAAACCUGGAGAAGCUCCUAAACUUCUGAUCUAUGGUGCAACUAAUCUUUACUCUGGGAUCCCUGGACGUUUUAGUGGAAGUGGAUCUGGUACAGAAUAUUCUCUAAAAAUCACUGGAGUCCAGGCUGAAGAUGCAGGAGAUUAUUACUGUCAGCAGUAUGAAGCCCUUCCCAUCACACGGUGUUAUUUACUGAUACAAAAACCUCCCUCAGCUGUAGAGGAAGUUCUCUGA